GUCUCACUUGACGCAUGUCCAUUGUGCGUGUGCUAACUUUCUGUCGCUGCACAGAUAGACUACUACUGUAUUUUUACCAUUUUUCUUUCACCUCAUAUUUGGUCUCAAAUGGUUAUACUAUGUGGGAAUGCAUAAAGGAGCAUGAACGCUAUGCUAAAUCUCCAAUGAAGCUCUGGCUUCACCUCAUGGAAGCUCACAGCAAGAAAGCAAGACCCUGAUUGGAGAAAGCGGCAAAAAACAUCACUUUCGAGGAAGUUGAGCUUCACUGGGGGCCUCUGGAGCAGGGCAGUCCUUGAUUUUGACUGACAGCAGCCAGAGGAGUGAGCUGAGUUUUUUUCCCUUUCCCCAGCGAUGCAGUCACAUAGAUUCGAGGGACGACAGCAGUCGGAGCAGGCGUUACAAAAUUAUUUUACAGCGAUUCAAUUUUACAGCUAUUUUCUCACUUUGUAUAUCCUACAUGGUGUCAACCACCUGGAAACUGAUUGGCGACUUGAUGACACCCUCUGUUAGCGUGGACGUUGCUAGACGCUCCUCCAAUGUCAGG